UGAUUCCUGGAAAUUGUUGAGUUUUGAUCUUUGAGAGCAGAAAGAGAAAGUUGGAAAGUGUUUGGGAUGUGGCGUUGAUUCUGUGGCUCUGACUCUGACUUGUACAGUAAUUGCACCUUUUAUAGGCUGCCAAGUGUGCUUGAGACCCAAUGAAAGAGGGACACCUGUAAUUGGACUUAUGGACAUUGCUGCAAAAAAGAAAAAUUAAAAGGACUAAUCUGCAAUUAUAAAAAAAGACUUAAAAAUGCAAUUUGGAAAAGUAUUGGACUAAAAUGCAAUUUUAGAAACUGUUUCAGGGACUAAAAUGCAAUAAAAAAUAAAAUUGGACUAAAAUUGGUAAAUUGGACAAAACGUAAAGUGAAACCAAAAAUAAAAUCAACAAAAGGACUAAAAUGAACCAGCUACAAAAAUGAGGUAUUUUAAAAUACCUCUCUGCCGAAAUUUUGACAGGAAAAGACCAAAAUGCCCCUAGG
rnacentral:lncRNA from 1 species